UGGGGAAUUUUGGACAAUGGGCGAAAGCCUGAUCCAGCAAUGCCGCGUGUGUGAAGAAGGCCUUCGGGUUGUAAAGCACUUUUGUCCGGAAAGAAAUCCUUGGCUCUAAUACAGUCGGGGGAUGACGGUACCGGAAGAAUAAGCACCGGCUAACUACGUGCCAGCAGCCGCGGUAAUACGUAGGGUGCAAGCGUUAAUCGGAAUUACUGGGCGUAAAGCGUGCGCAGGCGGUUUGCUAAGACCGAUGUGAAAUCCCCGGGCUCAACCUGGGAACUGCAUUGGUGACUGGCAGGCUAGAGUAUGGCAGAGGGGGGUAGAAUUCCACGUGUAGCAGUGAAAUGCGUAGAGAUGUGGAGGAAUACCGAUGGCGAAGGCAGCCCCCUGGCAAGUACUGACGCUCAUGCACGAAAGCGUGGGGAGCAAACNGAUUAAUNCCCUGGUAGUCCACGCCCUAAANGAUGUCAACUAGUUGUUGGGGAUUCAUUUCCUAGUAACGUAGCUAACGCGUGAAGUUGACCGCCUGGGGAGUACGGUCGCAAGAUUAAAACUUAAAU
rnacentral:rRNA from 1 species